rnacentral:rRNA from 1 species
UACAGAGGUCCCAAGCGUUACUGAGAAUCACUGGGUUUAAAGGGUGCGUAGGUGGUCCGUUAAGUCAGUUGUGAAAUCCCCGGGCUCAACCCGGGAAAUGCUUCUGAUACUGGCGGACUUGAGGCCAGUAGGGGUCACUAGAACUGACGGUGGAGCGGUGAAAUGCGUAGAUAUCAGGAGGAACACCGGUGGCGAAGGCGGUUCUCUGGGCAUGUCCUGACGCUGAGGAGCGAAAGUGUGGGGAGCGAACAGG